rnacentral:rRNA from 1 species
CCUACGGGUGGCUGCAGUGGGGAAUAUUGGACAAUGGGGGCAACCCUGAUCCAGCCAUACCGCGUGUGUGAAGAAGGCCCUCGGGUUGUAAAGCACUUUCAGUGAGGAAGAACGCCUGGUGGUUAAUACCCAUCAGGAAAGACAUCACUCACAGAAGAAGCACCGGCUAACUCCGUGCCAGCAGCCGCGGUAAUACGGAGGGUGCGAGCGUUAAUCGGAAUUACUGGGCGUAAAGCGCGCGUAGGUGGCUUGAUAAGCCGGUUGUGAAAGCCCCGGGCUCAACCUGGGAACGGCAUCCGGAACUGUCAAGCUAGAGUGCAGGAGAGGAAGGUAGAAUUCCCGGUGUAGCGGUGAAAUGCGUAGAGAUCGGGAGGAAUACCAGUGGCGAAGGCGGCCUUCUGGACUGACACUGACACUGAGGUGCGAAAGCGUGGGUAGCAAACAGGAUUAGAUACCCCAGUAGUC